rnacentral:rRNA from 1 species
ACUACGGGGGCAGCAGUGGGGAAUAUUGGACAAUGGGCGAAAGCCUGAUCCAGCCAUGCCGCGUGUGUGAAGAAGGCCUUCGGGUUGUAAAGCACUUUCAGUGGGGAAGAAAGCCUUGGGGCUAAUACCCUCGAGGAAGGACAUCACCCACAGAAGAAGCACCGGCUAACUCCGUGCCAGCAGCCGCGGUAAUACGGAGGGUGCGAGCGUUAAUCGGAAUUACUGGGCGUAAAGCGCGCGUAGGCGGUCUGAUAAGCCGGUUGUGAAAGCCCCGGGCUCAACCUGGGAACGGCAUCCGGAACUGUCAGGCUAGAGUGCAGGAGAGGAAGGUAGAAUUCCCGGUGUAGCGGUGAAAUGCGUAGAGAUCGGGAGGAAUACCAGUGGCGAAGGCGGCCUUCUGGACUGACACUGACGCUGAGGUGCGAAAGCGUGGGUAGCAAACAGGAUUAGAUACCCCAGUAGUC